GUUUCUUGUGUAUAAUUCGGAGUUCAGUAUGACGUCCGGUAUUUGUUAAAUCGGGCCCUUGACAGCAAUUUCGUGUUCUUUUUUUGACGAGCUUUUUUUUUAAUUGUCUGGUUCUAUAGAUAGCACUGCGACCACCUCGUACAGAAAUGUUAGCUUCUGACUUGAGCGUCUUGUCGGUAUGUCUUGUAGUUUCAGUUUGGUGAGCGUG
rnacentral:lncRNA from 1 species